rnacentral:lncRNA from 1 species
AAACGGCUAAAAAACGAAACAAAGACCAGAUGUCAAGGCUUAAGUUUAAAAGAAUUUUAGAACACACACGUUUAUAGUUUAUUGGCAUUUCACAAUUAUUCGGGAUCGGGGGAGGGGUAGGGGGGCUGUGUAAAUAUUCAGUGAAAAGUUAAGAGCCCUGUGGUCACAGUAUUUCAUGCACUUGAUUUGAAGUGCCUUUCUGCACUCUUAAACGGGUGAGGGUGGCGGUGUCCCCUUGCUCUAUAUGGAGGCCACAAUAGACAGCUGUACCAAGAAAGCAACAGGAUACAAUAAUCAGAAUUUGGAUUUUUUUUUUCACCUUCACAUAGAAGACUAGUAGAAACAAUUUUCAUACUUUGAAGCAUGGGAAAAAUGCAAAUGUACAAAUAACACUAUGGUCAGUUUCAUCUAGGCCCAGUACUGAAGCAAUGCUGCAUUUGGAAUUUGGAAGAUAAGGGCCUAGGUUUUCUGUCUGUGGAGUUUAGAAGAUAAGGAACUAGGUUAAAGUUCUAGUAACCUGCUGAGAAAAUAACUGGCCCAGGAAUGUUCUAAAGGAAUUCUAAAGGAAUAGUGAGCUACCUCAUGGCAUUGGUCCUUGAUUUGACUUGGGAAUUGUGUGGGAAAAGACCAUGAAGACAAUCCUACAGAAUAUGUUCAGCAGAAACUCUAGCUUGGGUUUUUUAUUUUGUUUCAUUUUUCAAGUCUUAUUUCUAGAAGGCAUAAGGAGAAAAGACAGGGAAAUAACAGUUCUCUUUAUUCUUUUCCUCUUAACUGUUUUAAACCAGUUGUAUUCUUUUUGUUCAUGUUUAAAAUUACAUAUAUUUACUUAUUUGUGUAUAUGUGUACACACGUGCUCUUAAGGUAUGGCAUGUGUGUGGAGGUCAAAGGACAACUUGUUAGGAGACUGUUCUCUUCUACUGGGAUCAAACUCAAGUCAUCCGGCUUGGUGGCAACUCCCUGUACCCAGUGAAUCUUUUUUUUUUUCCAGUUGUGUUCAUAAGGUCAGUGUCCAGAUUAUUUAAGCAGUUUAAAGGAUAUUUGUUGAUUAAAAAAAAAAAAUCACACCUUUUUAGUGUAUGUGGAGGAUGUGUGUUUUGAGGCAUCUCCUGUUCUCUCCCUGUUGUCCCGUCCAGCAGGGUGUUAGGAUAGCCUGUAGCAUAGACUUAGUGCAGAAGGCAAUUGUGUUUCUCAUUCGGGUGUAAAGUGAUUCUUCUGUUAAGUUCAGAAACACCGUUGCAAUUUGUUUGCUUUUAUGUUCUAAGGUCUUUGGCUCUUCUACUUUUCCUCACCUGUUGUUUUGGGGUUUUGUUUGUUUGUUUGUUUGCUUUCUGUGUUAGUUAAUUUUGGGGCACAAGGUCUUGCCAUGUAGUCAGGGUUGAUCCUGACUUCACGGUCUUUCUAACUCAGCCUCCCAAAGCUGGGAUUAUAGCCACAUGCUACCUUACCUGGCUUUUUUUUUAAUUCUACUUCAACUUGUCUCAGCUGUAUGAUUGCUGCUUUCCCACCUCCCUAAUUCCCAUUAAUUGUAGAAGAGUCUAUUUUAGGGCCUAGCCCUCUUUUAUUUAGAUCCACUAAAUCAAGAAUAUACUUGAUAAAAAGUGUGAACAUUCUUUUUUUUUUUUUCUUAGUUUGUUUAAAGUCUGGGAAGUAAAUACUCUUGUAUGGAUACCACAGGCUGUCCAUGAGCAAAAUUUGGGAUUGUUGAUGGAUGGUUAGUUUGGUUUCAUUUCCAUAAAAGGAACAGAAUUGUUAAAGACAAAAACUCACCAUGCCCUACAUUUCCAGAAUUCUAAAUUCAAACAUUGCCAAAUAUACCUUAAAGAUGUUCUGAAGAUGUGAAUGUGGUGGUUUAUAAAGUUGGUGAGAGAGCAAGUCCUAUUACCUAAUGCCUAAAAGAACAAAAGAGAACUAAUUAUGCCUUAGUUCUUUAAGAAACAAAUUAAUGAUCUUUGCUCACACACACACACCCACACACAGUUGUUUGGGCCUGUUUUUAUUAAUUCUUUGACUAUUUUAUACGAUGUAUUUUCAUCAUAUUCCUCCCUCACUCCUCCCUCUAACUCCUUCCAGAUCCACACCUACCAAUUUCAUGUCCUCUUUAAUAUAAAGUCGAGUCUAAUUUAUACUGCCCAUGUACUCAUGGGUGUGGGCCAUCCACCGGAGUAUGGUUGACCCAUUAGGGGCCACACCCUUAGAGAAAACUGACUUCUUUUCCCAGAAGUCAUCAACUGUGGACAGCUCCUCAGUGAGGAGUGGCCUCCUAAUCCUGACUGUAUUCUUUUAUUUUCAGCGUCUAAGAUAAGUAAUUACCCAUCACUGGGUUGAUCAAGGGAGAAGCAGAAUUUUUUUUUUUUUUAAUUCAGAUCUAAACUACAUUUUUGGAACCCAACUAGAGAUUUAACAGCCUAUCUGUGAAGAGUUCAGAAGAUUAAAAGAGCCAUGUGCAGCAUGCAGUUUUGACAUGGGAGACAUCCAAGGAGAAAUCACGUAGGGCACAGGGUGGUUGGGGUUCUUGGCAGCUCUUAUGAAAAGUACCAGUUUCUUCAGGCAAACCAGACUGUUGGUGGUGAGUUCAAGGCAUAUGAAUGUUAGAAACUGGAAGGCAAGCAACAUCAUAAAAGCUGUUCUUUGUGCUUCUGAUUUAGCAAUUUUCUUAUUAGAGUCCUUGAUUUCUCAGGCUCCAGAAUUUAUACUGUUAGUAUUCAUGCAUGUAUUUGUUUAUUCUUCGUGUUAAUGCUUUAUUUGCUAAGGAAAUUGAUUGCCAUAGAAAUAGAAUGGGAGACAUGUAAAGUGUUGAGUGAUUUAUAAUUUGAAUGGGUAGAGAUUUGAGUGACAUCUUUCAACAUGUAGCUUGGCACUGAAGUAACACGUAAAUUAAGUUUGCCUCUGUUUACUAAAGAUUAGCUUAAUAAAUAAAUUAAUAAGAUUAGUUUAAUAAAACAUGUUGAAAGGAAAUUGUGAACCAUACAUAUAACCAAUAGGUAAUAUUCUCCCUUUGAAUAAAUUAGUUUAGGUUUUUUUUUCUAUUUAAGAAUUGUAAUCUAUAAAGUAAAUUCAAGCUGUAAUAUUUAUAGCUACCAUUUUUUAAUUAUAUACCUUUGUCCUUUUUUUCCUCAUUUUUUUCUAUCUGGUUAG